rnacentral:lncRNA from 1 species
UGAUGGAGACAUUGCAGUUAGCACAGCAGAAAUAUGUGUCGCCCUCAUGAAGCAUGCAUUCUAGUAGGGAGGGACAGCACAUCAAUAAAGGAAGAUUAUUUCAUACGGGGACAAGUUCUAUAAAAAUAAUAAAACUGUAGUGGAGAAUGAGUGACUAAGGGUGGUCAGUUAGCUCUUAAAAUAACAAUUUUAUAUUGAAUACUAUAGUGAGUUACACAAUCUUUAUCUGAGUGAAAUCCUUUGGUACUUAUUCAGACAAGAGUUCUGACUCUCAUGCUUGAGGAUAAGAUUUUACAUUUCAGUAUUACAUUGAAGAUGUUUCAUUUUUAACCAGACUAACUUAGUAUAUUGUUAUUUUUAAUGUGACCAAAGAAAUAUUUUCAUAGAAGCUAAUGCUGAGUCUUUUGAUAAUUUGCCGUAUCUUAGUCAAUCCCAAAAAAUUUAUUUUCUACUAUUUACAUAUUAUCCUAGUGGAUAUUACAUUACUUACUGAAGCCUUUGGUUCUAUGUUUCAUCUACUCAGACUUAAUUCAGGAAGAGCUUCAUCCAGAUGUUUUGUUUAUUUGUUUCUCGAUUACAUGUAUGAGAUUUCAGAAUUUAUGAGAUCAUAGGUCAAGUGAAAGGUCACAGUUGAGAGGUCAAGUAAGAAGCUAAAAUUUGUGAAACCAAAGAAAUGACAGGACAGUGCCAAAUGAAAGGUCAAAAGUCAAGUGACAGACUCAGUACAGAUGAAAGCAAGUGUUGGACAAAAUCAUCUGGCAACACAGUACACUAUAGACCAUCAGUGCCCUUGUGAUCAUGUGGCUGACUGGAGGCUGUGGCUGGCUGGUGCUGCCCUGUACCACAUAUAGCUAGCCCAGCAAAAGAUCAGAAUUCAAAAAAAUCCAGUUUCUACUGAAUGCGUGUCUUUCUGGACCAUUAUAAAGUAAAAAAAAAGGUUGAAUUGUGUGUCCACUCCAAAAAAUCUGUCUCAUAUUUCUCUUUGAAUAAAAUUAUACCAUAAACAUUUCUAUAAGAAGUUGACCUGAAGGGACACAUUUACAUUUCACUUUUUAAAAGUUAUACAGCUGUCACUAUAAAAUGUAACAGGCAUAUUGUAACCGUAUCUACUAUGUUAUAGACUUUGUGUCACUUUCAAGUAAAAUAAGUGGUUAUGGAAAGUUUAAUGUGCUGUAAAAUACAAGGAUCUGUACAAUUAAAAAGAAGGUGCUUUACCCUUUAACAUGUGCCAAACGUCUUUCACCCCCAUUUUACUGCAUAUACCUCCUGUUUCUACAAAGCACCCAAGAAGUAGUUCAUCCCCAGAUGACAUUUCUGAUACCGCAUGACCCAGAUUGCCACAAUUUGGGUGAAAUAGCCUGAAGAAUUAUCAAAUAAGAUAGCUAGGAUGAUGUUCUGUAUUCUCUGGUGUUGGUACAGCACCAUGUUUGGGACCCAGAACUUGUACAAGAAUGGCUUAAAGUGACAUCAUCCAGUCUCAAAUGUUUGAUGCUGAAAAGACUCAGGACUAACAGCUUAGAAGAGCAGAAUUAAACCAUUUCAGAAAAUAGUUAUAUGUGUGAGUUGGAGUUCAGAGGAGAAAACUUACUUUAGAGCUUGAUAUUUAAAAGAUACUUGUUAUGCAUCUUUUUAAUAAAUCAAUAACAAAAUCGAGAAUUAAGUCAUAAUGAACUGGUAUCUUGGAGAUACAUUCAAACUUCCAUUAGGAAGACUGGCCUAUUUAUAAAAUCUGCCCACUUUUAACCUGGUAUCUCAAAGAAAAGCUAAGGUCAGCUGUAUAAGUUGAAAUCACUGCAUUAUUAUAACAUCAAGGAGGCAAGAUGCUUCAUAUCCCAUGUAUCUCAAGAAAGAAAAAAGCUGGCUAAGUUGAUAAAGGGAACUUGCAAUCCAGAACCUUUUUUUUUUCUUUUUGGCACUAAAAGAGGAAAUUUAGAGAAAAGCCAAGAUGGUAGACAGAGGUCUCAAAGUUCUGGCCUGGAGGGAAAUGAGGUGAACAUAGGAGUUAGUGGCUUAUGAGAAGAGGUAGCUGCCUCAAGACACCUGAGAAAUUUUUUGUAAACAUAGAAGUAAAUCCAAAGAGAGUAUUUGUAUAUUCAAGUAUUAUCCCUAAAUAGCCCCCUGAAGUAUUCUUCCUUGACAUUGGAGUAAAGAAAGAUAACUCAAAAAUGCAAUUAAGUCUGCUGUUUGGCAUUUUUAAUCUUCCUUUAUUUGGAAUUUUCUUUGUUUAGUUUUAUUUUGGUUUAAUCAACUUGAUGUUGCAAGUAUUUUUUACCCACAUUAUAUUAUGACAUGAAAAAACAUUGUAGCUGAAAGAAUAGAGAAAUAACCCAUGAAACUGAUUAGGAAAUCAUAGUCUCUUAUAUUAGUGUGUUUUAAAGCAUAAUAGCACCUGGUUGUAGAGGCUUCUGAAGUGCAGAGAAUCUCACACUCAUGAGUGCUAUCUUGAGGGCAUAUUCACAGUAGCCACCUUAUCCAAGCCACUCAGAUACUUUGGGCUUAGCUUUUAAAAAUGACCUGCAGGAGGGGACCAGGGCCAUUGAAAGUAGUAGAAACAGAAUUCACAACCAGAAUCCAGACCUCAUUCAGCUCAAUGGGCCUCUUUCAUCUCUAAGGACCCUCACCUAACUCCCUGGCUAGUGACCAUCACUGACCCAGGAUAGUAACCUCGGCCCCUCCAUGGAUUUAAGAUUAAGCCUUGCCAGUCCCUGGAAACUCUGAUCAGAAGACCAAGCAGCAAGUUUCAUGACUGACCAGAGAAUAUAAUUUCUCAGUCUCAUAAGCCUUUGGGUUCAGAAAUUUUAGUUGAGAUGCUCUUGUGACUUAUUUGGUGUCUGCUGGCUGCCUCUCCACUUGCCCGUUUGGUAGUCACCAACCAUCUCACAUGCGUGGAUGGCACUUUCUAGCUAAACUUAAUCACAGUCCCAACAGGCCUAAGGAAUCUCUUCAGUUCCUGUAUAAGGAGUUGCAACAAAAUCCCAAGUUUGGUCAUGCUGCCCUCCUGCCUCCUAUGUGCUGAUUCCCACUUCUGAAAACACAUCUUGAAUGUGCCUCUUGAAAUGUUGUCAUUUUUCUAAUCUUGUUUCCUUUUUAAAACAAGCAUUUUAUUCCAUGAUUUGCACAGUUCUGCAUCUAUAUCAAUGACUUUUCACCCAUUCCCCCUUUCCAACGCAUUUCUUGGGCAAAAGUUUGUGUCCAGCCUGCCAUUCAGGAAAGGCAAAGGAAAAAUAGGAUAUUAUACCAAAAUUACAACAGGGGAAAUCUAAUUUGUAUCCUUCGUUUAUGCUCGACUCAACAGAUUGUUGCACUGUUAGCCAAGUGCUGGAUGGUCUUACAGCCCAUGGGGCUUUUCAGGUUUCUUGAUUCUCUACGGGCCCCCUUGCCUUGCUUCUCAGUCCCUGGUGGAUAAUGAAUGCCAUACAUUUUAAACUCAGGCCAACUAUUCAAAAAUUAAGUCACACUACAAACAAUGAGCUAUCUCAGUAUUUGUGAAAACUGGAGAAUUAUUUCUUUCCCUUCUUCCCAUCCCCAAUGGCCACUCAGUUUUUACUGUGAGGUUUACUGGGUAGCUGAAGAUGAUGACUGAAGGAAAGGAUAUUCCACUGAAGUGAUAGACUCAGGAUAGCACUGUACUUUUCUAUAUGUGGGUGACAGUGGCCUGGGAAAGUGUUGGGGCUGCGUUUUGAGAACCCUAGGAAGCCAUGGCAUCCCCCUCAAGCCAUUCAAACACCAAAACAACUCAUUUGGGUUUACGUUGUGUUGGAUGACCACUGCAGCUUAAUCAAGACUUCUUCUUGCCAUUGCUUUGAAUUUCCAUCCACUUAGCCAGUAUUGCAUGCUCUAUCACUGCCAGGCCUUUGUUCUUCC